GUUUUAGUAGUAUAUGUAUAAAAUAUUAAGAUGUGGCCUUAAAGAAGAGUUCUCUCCUAAAACA
rnacentral:tRNA from 1 species